AAUAUACUCGUUGCGCUCUUUGAGUCUAAUUCCAGACACUUUGCCAACAAAGACAUCAAGCAGUCUUCAACUUGGCAGAAGUUCUCCUUGAUGUGCGACUUUACUAAAUAACAAAAAUUUUCAUCAGUAUCUAUCCUUCUACUGGUAGAUCUCUGGGCAUCACAUCUUAAAAAACCACUCUUGGGGUUGUCCCUGGAACUAUUUAUAUGUUCUACAGAAUUGUCAACCUGAUCAUAACAAGGAAUUCCUUGUAAUAUUUUGAAAUUGUAACAAGAAUUAAAAUAGCAAAAUAUCUAACCACAAGCGCUUACGGAGACUCGAUAAACAUACUACUUAUUCAAUGUAUCCUAACACGACGCAUAGUAUAUAUAAAAUGCCUCUAUUCUUGUUUUAUAGUUUCAAUUACUUUUGCAGAACAUGUGAUCACUUCUUCUUAUUCCUUAUGCAUUUCAAUUCAAACAUUAUAAUAACACAAUUGGUAAUGCUGUAUCUCCACAUUUAGAGGCAAUAUGAUCAACAACAAUAACAAACAAGUGAUAUGACAAAUGAGUGGAAGCAUUCAACGAAGAACUUUCCUUCAUCAAAGUUAACAGACUAGUAAUAUGAUAAAUGAUCGGAAGCCUUCAAUGAAGAAAAUUCCUUUCUAUUUUUUUGCAAACGUUUCUGUCCUUGCUAUCAAAUAUUGUAUUUUGCUGUUUGUAUAUAUUAAAUUUUGUGUAAUACAUUUCAUAAUUCUUUGUACGGAAAAGAUCCUUGAUGUAAUCUUUUGGAGGUAAGUACAUGCCCCCUUCCAUGAACUCUUUUUCAAAUAAUAUACAGUAUAUACUAGUUAGGAAUAAUGCCAAAACCCCAUUCAAGUUCAGGUAAGAAGGCCUAAAAAACCCUUACUUGUUCCUAAUAAAUUGAUAAAACUAUAUACAAUAGUUUGUGUUCAGCAGAGUACAGGUCAUCGUCCAAAUAAUGCUGACUCCAGUCACAUUCAGUACAAAUUGAGCAAUCAAACAACAAAUUCUGAGACAAAAGGACUUAAUUAUAUACCAAAAAAAUUAAAAUAAAUUUCAUAUUUAAAACACGAUUAAACAGACAGUUUUGUAGUGCAUAUAAAAAUAGAUAUAUAGAUACAUAAACGAUAUAUAUAUAGACACACACACGUACAAAUGGGGGAGCAAGAGAGAUUUGACACGCAAAUUCGAAGUCUCAGGCGUACUCUUCAUCGUCUAAGUAAUUAUUAGCAUGUCUGUGUAAUGGAAAUUUAAUGAAAAUAUAUCAUUGAAGACUUCAAAAAACACGGGAACAUGGUGGAACUUAAAUCAUUUAUUUAAACAAAAUCAAAUGCAAAAUAUACCUCUGGAGUUCGAGAGAUGGAAUUGUUAGAUUACAAAAGAGACAAGCGGAGGGGUCAGUCUUCUAAAUGACAGGAAUAUUGGUUCUAUUUUCCACAAUGGCCUUUAGUAUUGGAAAUACUAUUUUACCCUUACUUUUAUUAUUUGCAAGAUGUAUCUUGUAUCUUCUCUAAGUCUUUCAAUAUUUAUUCUCCUUUCGGGAUUCAUUAAUCAGGACUUAUGUUUAUAUUUUUCAAUCUUUCAAACACCUCUAAAUAUUCUAUGUAUCUUAAUAAUUCUUUAAAAAUUCUAGGCUGAUCUUUCUUAGUUAUGUAUCCUAGAAUUAUUCCUUUGAAACUUCUUCUUGUAUAUCUUUAUAUUUAGUUAUAAUAUAUUCUAUCUUUUUUAUUUCUCUACUACUUCUUACAGAAUCAAGUCUUAUAUUAUACUUACAAUAAUAAUCUAUAUCUCUAUAUAUUUCUUCAAGUUUUUCAUGGCCAACAGAAAAUAUGUCUUAAGACUUUUCAUUUAAUUUAAGUAAAAGCGAAAUAUCUUUCUCAUCUAAAUAAAAUAUGGAAUUAUUAUCAUCAUUAGAAGUGAAUGUGGAUGAUUGUGAAUUAUUCAUCAAAAUUAACCAAAUCAUAAGCAUGUAAGAGAGAGUAAAUAACUUACAGUAAUCAAAUAGAAGUAAACAGGCUUUCCCUCCAGUAUGCUUUUAUAGAUGUUUUGGAUGCACUUAAUCAAUCUUCAUAAUCAAGUAAAAGUUUAAAAUAUUUUUUGAAAUCAUUUGGGUCCACAACUGCUUCCGCAAAAAGGCUUUUCAAUUAAGGUUGCAUUUCUCAUUCUAGAGAACUAACCGUGUUUCCACAGACGCUAUCUCACAGUAUCCAGAGUCUCUGUUUUCACCUCUAUUCAAACUCUUUUCAGAAUCAAGUUCUUACUUGGAAUGAAAUUUUAAAAGAUAACUCACACACGAGGUGCUAGGAUUUUGUUAGAAAACUACAUUUUUCCCCUAAACCAUUCAUUAAAGACGAGUACUUUGGCAUGGCUAACAUCCAUUCAAAAUCAAUGUUUUGAAAAUCUUUUAAAAUCUCUAUUUGUACAGUCGAGGAAUCAUGAGAAACUUAACGAAAUCCUUUUAUGAAAGUUUUCUUGAACAUAACAAACUUUACUUUAAUAUUCAUAAACUGAAAUAGUACAUGCUUACAAUCUAUAUUUACAUACUUUUGGUACUCACCUUAUGAAGUUUAGAACUCCAUAAGUGAUUACCUUAUUACAAGCUUUGCUCUCCUCUGACUAUUUAAAAAAAUUUCUGAAUACAAGUGGUGUAUACAGAUUACAAAAGAUAUCUCUUUGAUAUGUGAUUUUUCAGAGUGUUUUUUCAAAUCUUUUUGAGAUAAGUUUCAUUUUUUCUUCCGUUCCUUGCCUCCUUUUAUAGAAGACUUUGAGAGUCCUUUCUUGACAGGUGUCUCCCCCUUCCUUUUGUUGGGUAGCUCAGUAAUCUUAUCUCCACUGAUUUCUACAUUAUUUUCUUGCUAGGUGGACCUCUCUUUUAGAAAUUAUCUACCUUAUCUUUGAAUUUAUCUUUCACUUAUGACAACCAGUAGGUGAGUAGUCGUAAUUAUGAAGACUUUCUUGUACUAUCUUCUGUCUUUUAGUAGCUACGAUUUUUCUUUAAUAAAUUUCUUUAUUAAAGUAGUGAUAAAGGGUCACUUUUGUCAUUAUCACUUUUCCAUCUUCGAAUCAAAGAAUUCUGAAGGGAAUUCUUUACUGUUGAGAGAUGCUUGACUCAUAUCUUCCACUACGCAGUACUCACAAUGGUGGUCACUGUAGUUUGCACAAUUUUUUUGCCAUAUCUUCUGACCCAUGUACUUGGUUUGAGAUAAUUGCGGAUAAUAAUUGGUCAAAAUAACAUAUGUCUUCUUCCUUUGUAUCUAUCCUUGCAUUUGAGUAGAUUAUAUGGUUUUCAGAUGGAUAAAUCCAUAUAUUUUCUAUCUCAGUAAUUAUCUGAGUUACAUAUUCGAAUAUUUCUUUGUACCCUUUUGCUCUUCUAUAUGGCAUCAUAUUUAUAAUAUCUUGGUAUCCAUUUUUAACAACCUUUUGACUGGUUGGUAAAAAAUGUUGGUUUGUAAAUCCCAUUUUAAUAACAUGGAAUGAUAGAUGCAUAUGUUUCAGAAUGGGAUCCCAUUCCAUAGUUGCUGAAUGGAAUCUGGUGUAUAUGUUUGUUGUCUUGACAAUUUCAGUAUAUCUUUUUACAGCUUUCCUGACGUUGGCUGGAAGUUGGGCUAUUUCUUUGAGAUCUUUGCUGGGAUACAUACAGAGUAUAUUUCCUAUCUCAAAACAAUUUCGUACCCAGUUGGCUGGUGCUCUUGGAUAGAAGUUUAUCUUGUUGUAUUUUGCAUAGUGAAGAGUUUUCAUUCACUUUCCUAUUUCCAGAUACCAAUCUGAUAAAACAUUAAAAAUAACAAUAAAGAAUAUGACUUCUUCAUGGUCAUCUUUUUUGGGAAAUUUUGCCUCAUGGCAUAUUUUGACAAUAUCUUUUGGAUCUAUUUUUUCAAUAGAAAGUUUAGAUUUAGUUUGGCUCUGUGAAGAGCUACCUUCGCUUUUGAUAUUUUGAAUAUCUUCCCUAGUGGAAAUUUUGAUAUCUUCAUUACCAGUAAUAGGCUUAAGUAUUCCUUGUACAGGGAUUCAUACUACCUUCUUCUCUUUCCCUUUAUCCUCGAGGAGAGUGCUAGUGUUUACUGGUCUCUGUGAAGAGAUACUAGACUUGGGACAAGUUACUUCUGCCUCAAGGGCUAUAUUUUUGCCUUGAAGGCUAUCUUGGAUAUUUUGAAUUUAUGUUUCCAAAUAAGAAACUUUUAUCUCAAGUAUUUGGACUUUCGUCCUUAGUUGCUCUAACUCCAUCCCUGCUGAGAUAAUCAGGAAGAAAGUUAGUUUUACCUUUUAUAUAUUCAAUAUCUAAUUUGAAGUAUGAAAACCAAAUUUUUAUUCUGAUAAUAUAUCUAUUGGCAAUAGAUGAAUCAACAUUAUUUUUCAAAAAAGCUUUAACUUGAGUAUAUUAUCAGUUCUAAUCAAGAACUUUUUUGAUAAUAAAUAAUCUUCAUAUUUUUUAACUCAUCUUUUUACAGCAAUGAGUUCUUUCUUGUUAGUCUCAUAUCUUGUUUCAACUUCUUUGAAUGUUCCUGAUGUAUAACCUGCAAGUAUCUCAGGACAAGAACAAUUCUUUUCACAUUUAUAUUCUUUAUGAUUCUUUUUAACCUUUAAUACUGCUACCCAGUAAUUAUUCGAAGCAUCUGUUUCAAGAAUAAAGAAAUCUUCUUCUUGUGGAAUUAUAAGUUUGGGUAAUACCUUUAAUUCUUCUUUUAUCUUCCUUAUAUUUUCACAAUCUUGUCUUUUCCAAGACCACAUUAUAUUUUUUCUUAGCUUUGGAAGAAAAUAAUUUUUUGUUGUGGCACGAUUUUCAAUGAAUCUUUCAGCAUAAUUCAAUAUAUUAAGGAAGUUUUGUAAUUGUUUUUUAUCUUUGAUUUUUUCAGAAAAUUCUUGAAGUUUUUCUCCAAUAUGAUAUUGCAAUUACAAUUCUCCUUCUUUUAUAAAUAAUCCUAAAAAUUCUAUUUCUAUUUUAGCUAUCUCAGACUUCUUUUGAGAAAGUGUAAUACCAUAUUUUUUUCAUAAUAUAACAAAAUUUCUCAAGCGUUCAAUAUGUUUAUCAAUAUUAUUUGAAUGAAUAAGUAAAUCAUCUACAUGUGCUAUACAAAAAUGAGUAAUUAGUUUAAUUACCUCAUCCAUUCUUCUUUGAAAUAUCUGUGGUGCAUUUUUCAACCAAAAUGGCAUUACAUUCCAUUCGUAUUGUCCUAAAGGAUUGAGGGUACUAAAUGCAGUUAAUGGUUUACUUUCUUCUGUAAGCAUGAUUUGUCAAAAACCUAACUUACAAUCAAAUUUUGAGAAUAUCUUUUUAUUUUGUACCUGCUUAAUAAGAGUGUCCUUAUUUGGCAAGUAAUAUUCAUCAAAUUUGAUAACUUCAUUUAACUAUUUAUAAUUUAUUACCACCCUAGCUUUUCCUCUUUUUAUCUCGCUAUGUUUUCUAACCAAAAAGGCUGGGCUGCUAUGUGUGUUUUUACUAGGCCUAAUUAAUUUGGCUCCUAGCAGUUCUUUUUUCUGGUCUUUAAAUUCCUUUUGGUCAUCUAUACUAUAUUUCAUGGGUUUGACUCUUACUAUAGUAUCUGGAUUGAUUAAUUCUAUUUUUGCCUUUACUUUGUCUAUAUUCCAUUUUUCUAAUGGAUUUUCAGAAUAUGUUUCAGAAAUUUCUUUUUUCAAUUUUUCUAACCUAUUUUCUGUUGUCAUUUUCAAGACUGUAACUGAUUUAAUUUUUUUUUUACUCCAACAUCCACCAUGCUGGGUUGAGGAACUCUAAUGGUUUAUGUCUUUAUAUGCUAUGGUAACAGUCUUAUUUAUUUUUGGUGUAAUUAUUUUAUGUGAACAAGGAGUUGUGAACAUAUAUUUAUCAAUAUUUUGUGUAAAUGGUGCAUAUUUUAAUAGGAAAUUUUGUCCUAAUAAAAUAUCACAUCCAAUUGUGGUUGACAUAUAUAUUGUAUUAACAAAUAUUUCUCUAAAGGAAAUUAGAAAAGGUACUUACGUAGUAUAUUUGUUGUAUAUUACCUUAUUUCCACUUACUGUUAUAGCGGUGACGAUCUUAUUUGAAUUAUAUUUCCAGUAUUCAUAUGAUAGUACAUUUGGUAGGCAUAAGCUUAUUGUACUUCCUGUAUCUAAGUAAACAUGAAAUUUAAUUCUACAAUAACUUUUUAUAUUGAGUGUAAUUUCAAUAUAUGGACUCAAGAGAUUAGUAUUAAUUACUCUUUCCAUGAUAACAAUGAUUUCAUAUUUUCAUAUAUUCUUGAUAUGAUGAUUGGAUUAUCAUCAACUGUUAUUUUUAAAUAUUCUUGGCAGAUUUUAUAAGGACUAUAUUCCUCAAGAAAGUUCAUUCCUAGUAAUAUAAGUGAACGUUCAACUCCAUAUAAUUCAUCUUUAUAUAGAAUUAUUUCUUUACUACUUUCUUUCUGAUCUUCUCUUGUAAAUAUAAGAGGGAACUUUACAUAUUUUCUUAUUUCAAGAUUAUUUCCUAAAUAAUCAUUAAAUAUAUAUAUGGUUCUGGUAUUUCAAAAUCUAUUAGAUGACUAACAAAUUUAGCAUUUACAUGACUUUUACUGUUCCAGUGUCUAUGAGGACAAGAAGAUUCUUCUUAUAUUCUUCUUGAUUUACAUAUCUUGUCUUGAUGUAAUAUUGCGAACUUGAUGGUCCAACAAUACUUAAUUUUUUGAGUUUGCUUAUCUUAGAAUCUUGUCUAGAGGAGAAUCUUGUAAUUAGAUUAUCUCCUUCUAGGCUGACACUAUUUCUUCUUAUCAGUUUUUCUUUAGAAUUAAUUUCUCUAGCUUGUUUGUAGAAAUCAAGCAUUAUCUGUUCUGGUAUAGUGACUUCAUGUUCUUGGUAUUUUCUAGGAGGUAUAUAUUGUGCUAAUUCCUCAAAAUCUUUAUGUAUGAUGAUAUUAUUAGUUAUUUUUCUAAAAUUGUUAUGAUGGCUGGUACUAAAAGCAAAAAUUGAUUUUAUACUUAUACUAAUAGCCUUACUUUUUCGUAACAUUUUCAGGUUUCCAAUUCUAUAAUAUAGAUUGAAACUUUGGUCAAUAUUUUCAUCAAUUAGUGAUAUUGCAUAAUUUGAUUUUACUGUAAAUAUUAUCUUUUGAUAGACUAAAUUUCCUACAACUGUUUCUAAUAGAGCAUUUAUAGGAUCUUGUAAGAUUCUAUUGUCCAUACAAUAUAUUUCUAUUGGUAUGUUCAUACCUUCUCUAAAGAAUCAUUUUACCAUUAUCUGGACUCCUCGUAUUUCAAUACAUUUUAAUUUGUUUUUUAUAUUUUUUGGGAUUUUGGAUAACUUUUGUUUUACCCAUUCUUUUGUAAUUAUAGGAAUUCUUGCUUUUUCUAUUGUAUCUUCUAUAUUGAUAAACAUUUCUUUAUAGUUCAUACUUACAAUUGUUUUAUUUACUCUUGGUAGUAUUCCUAAAAAUCCUUGAUGGAAUACAUCUUUUUCUUGUAGGUCUAAUAUUUUCUUGGUUAUUCCUUUGUAUUUUUUAAUAUCAAAGGUAAUUUCUUAAUUUAUACCUUCUAUCAAGUCUUCAACUUCUUCAGUUGUUUCAACUUCUAUUUCUAGAUCUGAUUUUUCUAUCUCUUGAUUCAUGUAUACUAUCUCCUCAAAAUCUUCCUCUGAUGAGAAUAUAUUUAAUUCAUAAAUGUUACUCCAUUCACUGUUUAGAUCUUCAAAAUAUUCAAUGGGUUCUAUAUCACUAUCAUCUUGAAAUUUUUCAUAAAUUCUAAGGAUUUUUAUAUUUUGUCUAUCCUUCUUUUUAGGACAUUGAGGGGCAAUGUGUCCUUCUUCAUUACAGAUGAAACAUCUACAUUUUUUAAUAUUUCUUGGUUUAGAUUUUUUAUUCAAAUUUCUUUUCUUGAAAUAUUUUUUGUGUGGUUUAAAAUUUCUUUUCUUGAAUUUUUUGUAGUUUUUUAAUUUUCUUUUAUAUUUUUUAUAUGGUUUAUAUUUCCUUUUAUGGCAUCCAAAUUAUUCAAUUUGGCCUAUAUCUUUAUAACAACACAAGGAAUUCUUUCUUAUUUUAUAUGCUUUCUUACUCUCUAGAGUUUCUCUACACCACAUGCCUAUCAUUCUUUCUGUAAAUUCAAUCCUACUUCCAAGACUAUCUAUUUUUACUCAUUCCUCUUCUCCUAAAGGUAAUAAUUUCACAUAAUCUUUUAAUAACUUAAUUCCCCAUGGGAAUGGUAACUUAGUAAAAUAAGACCUUAGUAUAAGCCUAUUUUCUUGAUAAUCUCAUUGGUUUAAUAUAUAGUAUAAUUCUUCAAAUUUACAUGUAUAUCUUUCUAAUUCACACAUAUCACAUAUCCUUAAAUUUUUCAUUGCUAUCAUUCCUUCAUUAUAUUCAUCUUAUUUUCUAUCUUCUUCAUUGGAAGCAUAUCUAUCUCCCAAGAACUCGGUUCUUAACGCUUUUUCAAACCUUUUUAAUAUUUCUUAUAUACUUUGAUCAUUUAAAGUAUUUUAUUAUCUAAUGCUUCAAUUCUAUGUUCUCCAUAUUUUAUUCUUUCUUUUAUAUAUUCUGGUAACUUUCUCCACCAUUCAGAAACAAUUCCUCUGACUUUAUAUUCUAUAAAUCCAAAAACUGUAUAUGUUUCUCAUUUAUUAAAUUGUAUUGCUAAGUCUGUACUUUUCAUCCAUGUUUCAAUGAUUUUAUUUUUAUCUACACAGUCUAGAUAUAACCAUAUCCCUGAUGUGUGGAUUGGUUCUUAUAAGAUUUCAUUAAGUUUAUUUCUUUUAUGGAUUGUUUUCUUAUAUUUCCAGUGUAUCUUUUUUGUGUUUUUCUAUAUUGAUUAAUACCUUCGUUAAUAGGUAUUGUUGUAUGAUAAUGAUAACCAUAUUUUUCAUCACUACUGAAUUCUAUCUUUAUAUUUCGACUUGUUGAUGGAUUGGUAUUUAUCUUCGUAUUUUCCAUUUUUAGUUAAUUUAUCUAACCGUUUUUUAUAUUCACCAUACUUUUCACCAGUAGAUUCUAAGAAUUUUUGUUCUAGUUCUUCUACAUCUGUAAUCAUAUAUUGAUUUUUUUCAUGUUUUUUCCCUUUAUUAUUUUUUUUUUGUGUUAUCCUAAAAUCUUGAGGUGGAUUAAUUAUAAUCCUAUCUUUUCCUUUAAGGUUUUUAUCUAAAAGAGCAUUUCCUAUUUGUAGAUUAUGUUCUAAAUUUUCUAGUAUUUUAUGUAUAUUCUCAAAGCUUUCAUUUGUGGUAUUUUUAGGUAAGUAGGGAUAACUUGAUUUUUUUAUGUUUUUCAACCUUUUUCAAAAAUUCUUCAAUUAUAUUUUCUUAAUCUACUAUAUUCAUCAUAAUUUUCGGUUUAUAACAUGGCUCUGAUACCAUUUCUUCAAAGCGUGCAGCGGAGGGGUUAAGAUUUCGAAGAAGAUUAAGAUCUUCAUAAGUAUUUAAAAUACUACAACAUAAUUUAUAAAAUUUACUAUCUUUCGUCAAAACUUUUUCUUCAAUAAUUAUAUUUAAUUUGUUAAUUCUUCUUUCCAGCUUAAGAAUUAGUUUAUGUAUAUCAUUUUCUAUUUUGAUUGCCCUAUUAUCUAUAUAAACAUUUUUAUAUUUUAAUUUUGGAUCUAACUAUUCUAUAAAGAAACUCUUCAGAUCUUCUUUUAAAUAAUUUAAUUCAUUAUAUGUUGCAUUUCUUAGAUCAGUAAAAUUUUGUAUAAUAUUUGGGUUUAAAUUUAUUAAAAAUUCAUGAUCUAUAUUUCUUUGGGGACCUAAUUGAAGGUUUUUAUACAUUGUAAUGGCUUUGGUUGCAAAUUCUCUAUGAGGGGUAUUUUUGGAAAGAUUAUUAUCUAAAGAUUAUUCUUCAAACAAUUAUCUUUUCAGGUCUCAUCUCACAAUUCACUCUUAUAUUUAGGUUAUUUGCAGGUAUUUCCUCCAAGCGGAGAGAGUGGCAGCCUUGAGUAUUGCGACCCCGUGUUAGGUAAAGUUAAUUAGUUGGUCGAAGAAAAAAGACAAUUAUAUUAAUGAAAUUCUGUAAAAUAUAAUUAUCAGAAACAUAUAAAAAUUGAAAAUAAAAGAAAUAUAUAUAUAUAUAUAUAUAUAUAUAUAUAUAUANNNNNNNNNNNNNNNNNNNNNNNNNNNNNNNNNNNNNNNNNNNNNNNNNNNNNNNNNNNNNNNNNNNNNNNNNNNNNNNNNNNNNNNNNNNNNNNNNNNNNNNNNNNNNNNNNNNNNNNNNNNNNNNNNNNNNNNNNNNNNNNNNNNNNNNNNNNNNNNNNNNNNNNNNNNNNNNNNNNNNNNNNNNNNNNNNNNNNNNNNNNNNNNNNNNNNNNNNNNNNNNNNNNNNNNNNNNNNNNNNNNUUUUAUCUCUUAUAUUCUACUCCAGAAUACAUAUGUUGUUAUUAUAUUAUUUUGUUUUAAUCUCUUGAUAACAAUAUUUUAAAUGUUUGCUGAAAUACUUUUUUUUGAAUUUAAUAAUUCUUUGCCCGGUUCAUACAAAUACUUUUUUUUUAAAGUUAAUUUCUUAUAAAUUAAUAUAAAAUUAGAAUCAAGUUUGUAUUUAAUCAUCAUUUUCAUUAUUUUAUUAUACUAUCUUUUGCAGCCAGCAUUCUCCAAUUUUGUCCAUAAAUCACUCAAACGUAUAUUGAAUUUUGUUUGAAAUAGUUGUAGUGAAAAAAUAAUCAUAGAAACAAACAUACCCCUUUGUCAUUGCAUUAUAAUUCUGUUUGUCAAAUUUUACUUGUAACUUGUAUUGCACGUUGAAAUUUGACAUUUUGUUAAUUUCCUAUUCAAAUUUUUGUUUAUGUUAGAUUCUUCAUAAUCAUAUUAAGCCUCUAUUUGGUAUUGAUUAAAAUGUAGUCAAAAUCAACCAUUAAUUUUAACCACAUAUUUUUAUGAAUUUUACAACUUUUAAUCCACAUUUUUCAUUUAAUUCUAUUAAAAUCUACUAAAAAUCUGGUUUUAAGCCCCCAUUUGGUAUUUCUAUUUAUCCGCAAAAUCUUUUGUUAUUCAAGAGAAUAUUAGCAAGUAGGAAAAAUAAAGAAUAUAACGCAGAAAUUAAACGGACCGUUUAAACUUUUUACUAUACGAAAAAUUAUUACAAUCAUAUAGAAUUUCAUUUACCAACCCAAUCCCCAAAUAUUACAAAGAAAAAAUAAACCCGAACUUUACAACACCUACUUUUUUACCCUUUGUACAAAAAGUCUUAAAAUGCUAGGCUCCAAUAUUUUCUUCUCAAAUCAACUCUAUGCCAAUCAACUCUAUGCCCACACACAAAAUAAUGAAAUACCUCCACUAUUUAUAUGAUCAAUAACCCAAUAGAAGAGUUUAAUUUAAACUCAAACACAACUCCUUUAACUCGACAAUGAUUUUUUCAUGUGUAAGAAUCCAAAAUAGAUUGUAAAUUGUAGAUCAAAUUCUGCAAGGAUUCUGCUCUAAACAUUAAUUAGAAGUCUUCCAUACAAUAAAUACCUUUUAUUAAUAGAAGUCCUCCAACUUUUGACUUUUGAGGCAAUUACCCAACUGUAGAAUUAUUUAACUCCGUGCGUUUCGACCAGUGAGUGUUUAGAGCUCUGAAGACUGUAAAAGCACACAGACAUGGUACAACUACAGCUAUGAACAUAUUGCACUGAUAACAUAUGCUGAAGAAAUUAAAUUAAUCUCAUGAUAAAUUAUACAAAAGUGCCCAUAAAUGUUCUGAUCAAAGUCAUUUGAGUCAUGUGUAUCAAAACCUCUUUCCCAAGCAAGUUCAAGCCAUCUUCGUAAGGAAGCAAUAUCGGGUACAAAUCUAAAACCACCAUGUAAACUCUCUUGCUUCUUGUCUUUGUUUAAGCAGAAAAGAACUAAGCAUCUGAAUAUUACGUUAACCAAAACCCCACGCGACAUCCUCUGAUUUGACACUCUGAAAGUGAUCAAUAUACCCAGACAAUAUACUCGUUGCGUUCUUUGAGUCUAAUUCCAGACACUUUGCCAACAAAGACAUCAAGUAUUCUUCAACUUAGCAGAAGCACUCCUUGAUCUGUGACUUUACUAAAUAACAAAAUUUUUCAUCAGUAUCUAUCCUUCUACUGGUAGAUCUCUGGGCAUCACAUAAAACCACUCUUGGGGUUGUCCCUGGAACUAUUUAUAUGUUCUACACAAUUGUCAACCUGAUCAUAACAAGGAAUUCCUUGUAAUAUUUUGAAAUUGUAAUAAGAAAAAUGGCAUAUUAUAUAAGAAUUAAAAUAGCAAAAUAUCUAACCACAAGAGAUUACGGAGACUCAAUAAACACACUACUUAUACAAUGUAUCCUAACAUGACGCAUAGUAUAUAUGAAAUGCCUCUAUUCUUGUCUUAUUGAUAUUGGACAUCGCUAAUUACCUACAAUAACUGACAAUAUAUGGGUUUUGUCACCAUCCCACACAACCCGUGGGCAUACAACACCCAUGCUAAGACAUCAACCCCCAUGGGCGCUCUACGCCAAUGCCGAACGUUGACCCCAUGGACACUCUACACCCAUGCCGAGACAUCGACCCCCUAGGUGCUCUAUCCCUAUGAUGGGACGUCGAUCGCUAUGGGUACUCUACAUCCUAGCUAGACCAUUGACCACCAUGAGUCUCACUACCACUACGCGGUGAAUACAACACUUAGCCAAAAAUCAUAAAUUGGGUAGAGGUCACGCGACGGUUGUUACGAACACGACUAGUAGUUGAACGAUCGGAGGUUAUCCACUAAGAACGUAGGGACAGUGGAAGAGGUUACGUGGGAGACGUGGCACCAUAACCGACCGGCGUUCACAUGACUCCAAUCACCUAUAAAUAUGCCAAAAGGCGAAACAAGUAUGAAUCUUGGAAAAACUUUGGCUAUUUGAAUAUCUUCUUUCUCCUUUCUUAACUCUCUAUAAUUCGACACUAAUUCUCAUGCUAGAGGUACAACGGGGGAGAAAGCCUCGACCUCACUUUUGCAGAUAAUAAUUGGUCAUCGGAACUGUGAAAGCAAUCUACACCGCCAGGAGGGCACGGAGGUUCUUUCCCUAACUAUUUCGCGCCGUCUGUGGGAAAAUUUGAACUAAAAAGCUUUGUCGAGAAGACGAACAAGGAGUGAUACUCGUUUGGUUGGAAAUACAAUAGAGACAGAGUCGGAGUCGGAGUUAGUUGCAAGGGGUCACGAACCACGGUCGCCCCUACAGUAUGUGACGCAGAGUCAAUUCAGUGCUUUGGAGACUCAAUUGGCAACAAUGAUGGCGCUCUUACAAAGCCAGUCACAGAGAGCCGCGGUCUCCCCAUUGAGCCCGACGGAAGUGACAAACCAGCAGCCACCUCAAGCACUACCCUCGAUUUUUCCACCCACAUUCGGCAGGCAAUGGGAGAUUCAGGGGCUCCAGUGGUUGUAGCUCAGCAGCCCAGCAGCCCAUGGUAGACCUGGAAUGAAAGAUGGAAGAAAUAAUAGCCCAGAAGCUAGAUGAUGCACUAUCCAAGAGGAAGGAUAAGCGGAGGCAGAUGGUUUUGGAGGAAGACUCGUUUGCACCUGAGAUCAUGGCAGCCCCCUUACCUAAAUGCUUCAAAUAGUCCAUGAUAGAAGCAUAUGACGGAAUCACAGAUCUGCUUGACCACUUGCGGACCUUCGUAGAUUUGAUGAGACUUUAUGCGACCCCGAACGCAGUGAUGUGCCGGUCCUUCCCCCCAAACUCAGGAUGGAGGCCAGUGACUAGGUAGUAACCUUGGCCCCGCAGUCUAUCAAGACAUUUGAUGAGCUGUCCAGGAGCUUUGUGGCUUACUUCCUAAGCAACAAGAGGAAAAGGAAGACGGCCAUUGGGUUGAUGCAGGUCGUACAGGAAAAAGAUGAAUCAUUGCAGGAAUACUUGGCUAGGUUUAACCGGGCGACUCUUUGCAUAAAGGACCUGCAAAUGUCCGCAGUGGUUACCGCCUUGAUGAAUGGAACGCGAAAUGGAGCCUUUAAGAUAUCACUCUCCGAGAAUCCCCAGGAGUCGAUGCAUGACCUAUUGAAGAAGGGAGACAAGUAUGUCGAUGUGAAGGAAGCGGAGAAGGUACCUAAAAAUCUCAGGGAUUGAUGGUAGACAGAAACUCAUAAGCAAAAGACAAGUGAUGAGUAAAGGCUCGCUGAUAAGAACAAGCCGAAGAAUGAACGCAUGAACAAGGGUUAUACCCAGGACUAGUCAGUCAAGCAGAAGCGAGAGGAGGUUAAAGCAUCCAUCCCUUUGAACAUCCCACGAACAAAGUUAUUAAUGAAAAUACAGCACAUGAAAGAGCUCGAAUGGCAUAAACUGAUGCUGACACCCUCCAGCAAGAGAAAUCAAAGUAAGUACUACCAUUUUCAUAAAGAUCGCGAACAUGAUAUCGUAGAAUGUCUGCAGUUGAAGGAGGAAAUUGAGUGCCUACUAAGGCGGGGACUAUUGGCUAAGUAUGUAAAAAACAACAGGGGCAAGCAAAGGGUCGAAGAUCGACUCCAACCUAGGGAGGAGUGAUAAACAUGAUCAUCAGGGGUGUAGCAUCGGGCGGUGACUCAAAUUCAGCUAGGAAGAGCUAUGCGCAUUUCGUGGGGGUCUACUCUAUCCAGAAGAAAGCAAAGUUCAACCAGAGCAUUACUUUUGACGAAGGGGACUUUAUCGGUAUAAUGUAUCCCCAUGAUGACGCCUUAGAGAUAGUAGAUGAUAUAGCAGAUUUUGACGUGAAGAGGGUGCUAGUUGACGAGAGAAGUGCGGCAAAUGUCCUCACCUAGGAUGCCUUCUUGGGUCUAAAGAUUCCUCCCGAGAAGUUGAAGAUGGUGACUAUCCCUCUACAAGGCUUUCGAGGGGCAACAGUGAUACCGGAAGAAACUAUGGAGCUUUCAGUUAUGCUAGGCACAUAUCCAGCGAUGGUGGUGAUUGUGGCUAACUUCUUGGUUGUCAAGACCCCCAUGGCCUACAAUGCCAUCUAUAGCCGGCCAUUGUUAAAUGCAGUUGGUGCUGUCCCAUCAACCUACCAUCAGAUUAUAAAGUUCCCAACUAGCAGGGAAGUCAGGUGCGUGCGAGGGGACCAGCGUGCAUCAAGGAAAUGCUAUGUGGAUAAUAUACAGGCUAAAGGCUCGCAACCAAUCAUAAUGCUGGAUGUGGAAUUCCCAAGGGGACGAAUCGAGUUGCUCGAUAUGACUAAAAAAAUCUUCGUAGUAUAGGGAUGGGAGUUUAGUGUUGGAACAGGUUUGGGAUUCGAAAAGAAGGAAAAUUUGACAAUGUGUCUAGCCAGUAACUUGGAAGUUUACACUUGGGGCCCAGAAGACAUCCCAGGGAUCAGCCCGACCAUUGCGCAGCACAUCCUCGGUGUCCAACCAGGGGCUAAGCCAGUGAAGCAGAAAAAAGAAAUCUUGCCCUGGUGAGGCAGGCCGCAGCCAGAGCAGAGGUAGAAAAAUUGCCACAGGUGGGUUUUAUUCGAGAAGUGCAGUACCCCGAGUGGUUGGCAGACAUUUUACUUGUGAAGAAGUCAAACGACAAGUGGCACAUGUGUGUAGAUUAUACUCGGUUGAACAAGGUAUGCCCAAAAGACUCGUACCCGCUUCCCAGGAUAGAUUACCCGGUGGACGCUAUAUCGGGUCAUGAAAGGCUCAGCUUUCUAGAUGCAUUUUUUGAGUAUCAUCAAAUUUCAAUGGCCGAGUCCGAUCUAGAGAAGACAUUAUUUAUCACAGACUUUGGCACAUACUGUCACAUAGCCAUGCCAUUCGAUUUUUUUUAAACGUCGCGGUAACUUAUCAGAGGAUGGUGAACAAAGUCUUUCGUGGACUGAUCGGGGAUGUUGUAGAGGCCUAUAUUGACGACAUGGUGGUCAAGAGUGCCAAGGCUAAUGACCAUGUGGUCUAUUUGUAGAAAGUGUUUGAUAUUGACCAACAAAACAGAUUGUGGUUCAAUCCAGAGAAGUGUGUUUUUGGUACUGUAGAAAGAAAAUUCCUAGGCUUCAUGAUCACGCAAAGGGGCAUCGAAGUGAACCCGAACAAAAUUUAGGUAAAAUUGGAAAUGAAAAGCCCCACCAGUACGAAGGAGGUCUAGAGGCUAACAGGGCGGGUAGCUGCUUUAAAUCAUUUCAUGAGCCAGGCGACGGAUAAAUGCUACUACUUCUUCAAGGCUAUAGGGUGUUCCUCCAAUUUUGAGUGGACCCAGGAGUGUAAAGAGUCACUUAGGUACCUGAACAGUCAUUAUAAGAGCCUACAAUCUUGACUAGUCCAUGCCCCAGGGACGUGUUGUGUCUCUACUUGGCAGUCUCACCACGGCACUGGUGAAAGAAUUCUCAAAGGCACAAAAAUCGGUCUACUAUGUGAGCCAAGUAUCGAGGAAAACAGAGGUAAGAUACAGCCUGGCUGAGCAGCUGAUGUUUGCUUUAAUUGUCACGGUUAGAAAGCCGAGACCAUACUUUCAAUCUCACACGAUGCAAGUAAUGACCGACCAACCUAUCAAGUAGAUCCUCCAUCAACCAGAAACCUCUGGGAGACUGUUGAAAUGGGCAAUCGAGUUAAGUGAGUUUGAUAUCGAGUUUAGACCAAGGACGGCUAUUAAGGCGUAGGCUCUAGCAAACUUCAUCGUUGAGCUCACCAUUCCGCCCGAGCACCCACCAAGGGAACAGGUAGAUUGAAAAAUUUUUGUGGACAGAUCUUCGAACGAUGAAGGAUCCGGGGCGGGGAUCAUAAAGAUAGGGCCAAAUGGUGAAGAGUUGGAAUACUCAUUGCGUUUCGAAUUCCCAGCUACAAAUAAUGAUGCCGAGUACGAGACGGUGAUCACGGGUUUAGGACUGGCAGCCAGACUCAGGGUAACUUCAGUAGAAAUUUACAGUAACUCUCAGUUGAUAGUCGGGCAAGUGACGGGAAAAUUUGAGGAAAAAGACAGAAAGAUGGCAGCGUAUUUAAUGGAGGUCAAAAAUUUCCAGAAGGGGUUUACCAGGUUCAAAAUAACAAAGGUCCGUUGAAAAGACAAUGAGUGGGGCGGACGCAUUGGCUAAGCUUGCAUCCACUAACCCCAGACAUCUGCCUUGCACAGCAAACGUGCAAAUCUUACGGCGACCUAGCAUCCAACAUGCGGUCAAUGUUUUGAAUGUAGAACAUGGGGAAAGUUGGAUGGGCCCAUUGGUUGAAUAUCUCACAAAGGACAAACUACCGGAAGAUGCCUUCGCAACAAGAAUGCUAAGGGUUCGGGCAGCCUCGUUUCACAAUGUUGUAUUUGAAAUGUUUUCUACCGACAGAAGCACGAGAGGUACUAGUUGAUAUACAUGCAGGAAUUUGUGGCAACUACCAAGGGGCGACCGCCCUUGCAUUCAAGGCACUACGACAAGGAUAUUAUUGCCCUAGUACGAAGGAAGAUGCUAAGGAGUUGGUGAGGAAGUGUGAUGCAUGUCAACGCCAUGGAAAUUUGAUCCACACUUCAGUCGAGCAGCAGACGAUAGUUUUUGGGGUGUGUCCUUUCUUCCAAUGGGGGAUGAACAUCUUGGGACUUUUGCCCCUAGCCAAGGGACAAAUAAAGUUCUUGCUAAUUGCCAUAGACUACUUCACUAAGUGGGUAGAGGCUAAGCCCUUGGCCACCAUCACAACGACAAAGGUGCAAGGUUUUGUCUGGAAAAAUAUCAUAUGCAAGUUUGGCAUACCCAGAGUAGUCAUUACAAAUAAUGGCAAACAAUUCAACAAUCACAGUUUUAGAGCCUUCUGUACAAGCUACCACAUCGACCACAGGUUGACUUCAGUCUCUCACCCACAGUCAAAUGGACAUGCUGAAGUGACCAAUCAAACCAUACUAUGGGAUCCGAAGACAAAGCUGGAAAAGGAAAAAAAAUUUGGGCGGACGAGUUGCCUAAUGUACUAUGGGUGUAUCACAUGAUCCCAUGGGAAUCGACUGGUAAAGCGCCUUUUAAGUUGUUAUUUGGGAUGGAGGCAAUUCUCCCCGUUGAAAUUUUCAGUGAGACUGGCCAAAUGAAAAUCAAGCAGCUUGACGUCGCAACCACCAGGACGGAACUCGACUUACUCGAAGGGGCUAGAGAAAAGGUAGCGAUAAGGAUGUCAGCAUACAAGCGAAGGGCUGCUGAGUAUUUCAACCAAAAGGUAAGAUCAGAGUUUUUCAGCCAAGAGAUCUUGUACUAAGAGAUGUAGCCGCAGCAGGACACCCCCCACCAAAGCUUGGGCCGAAUUGGGAAGGACCAUAUAAAGUAAUCUACAGCCUCGAAAAAGGAGCCUAUAGUUUGAAAGAUACGAAAGGGAAGCUAUUGGGUAGGCCAUGGAAUGCGAAACAUCUCAAAAAGUACUAUCAGCCGACCCGCAAAUCAGAAAGAUAGGUUAUUUUCUUUGUAAAUACAGUAGAUAGGUUGGUUUAAUUGUUUCCUUAAUGUAAAGCUUGUUAUAGGCACGAUCUAUUGCAAAUAUUCAUGUUAUUCAAUUAAAUGCCCUAGAGGUGGCAUAUGAUGAGGGUACUAAGGAAAGGUUAGCCUAGUUAGGACGUUCCGGUGCGCCUCCUGAGCUCCUUAAAUCAGGCAAUUUAUAUGUUGAUAUGUAGCUUUAAUCUCCCACGACAACUUGACAAUGUUUUUCAUUCCUAGUGAAGGGCCAUAAAAACCAAAAAUUUGGUUAAGGCCCUAAACCGCUAGACCCCACAAUCAAUUGUCGACAUAGCCCAAGGGGCUAGGCGGAGAGCCAUUAAAACCAAAAAUUUGGUUAAAGUCCUAAACCGCUAGACCCCACAAUCAAUGGUUGACAUAGCCUAAGGGGCUAGGCGGAGAGCCAUAAAAAUAAAAAAAUUGGUUAAGGCCCUAAACCGCUAGACCACACAAUCAAUGGUCGACAUAGCUCAAGGGGCUAUGCGGAGAGCUAUAAAAAUCAAAAAAUUGGUUAAGGCUCUAAACCGCUAGACCACAAAAUCAACAGACGACAUAGCCAAAGGGCUAGGCGAAGAGCCAUCAAAACCAAAAAUUUGGUUAAGGCCCUAAACCGCUAGACCAUGCAGUCGACGAUCGACAUAACCCAAGGAGCUAGGCGGAAAGCCAUAAAACCAAAAAUUUGGUUAAGGCCCUGGAACGCUAAUAUCGUACACUCAACGGAUCAACAUUACCCCAAACAAACGGGUAAAAAUCAAUAGUUGAAAUACAAAAAGGGGUUGAACAAUAACAACGUUCAAUGAGAAGGUUUCCAUACACAAAAUGAAAUAUAACUUCCCGUCCACAUCCCGGACCGGUAAGACCAUAGCAUUCAAUGAGGAACCAACCACAUGUAAAAUAAGAAGUGAUUUUCAGUCCACACCCCGGACUGGUAGGAAGCAAAAAACUAACAAAAACGAGCAAUCACGGAAGUAGCUAAGAGAUCUUCGGCUGAAAAAUGACUCAACUCGAGUGAGAAGUCCCUUCGCUCACACCCCGCGAUAUGUGUCUAAAGGUCUGAGACUUAGUGGCUCCGCCAUCCCGACCUUUGUGCUGUUCUAAAAAUCGAUCAAAACUCGACGGAUCAAUAGAAGGGUGCUCAACGGAUAUCCACUCCUUCGCCAACUUGAUGGACGCAGCCAUCGCCUUUCUCCCGUAUGAAUGAAGAACCUUGGCAAAAUCUGACGAUAACUUAUACUACUCUAUAGAUGCCUCCAAGUCUUUAGUGUACUCUGCGGAGGCCUUGUAUCGUCCCACCAUCUCCUCCGAUGCUCAAGCAAAAAUAGAUCGCAAAUUAUUAAUUUCAGUCUCUUGCUUGCGAGCUCGAGCCUCCAAAGCCUCAACAGACUUCUUCAAGGAGGAAUUUUUCUUCCUAAGAUGAUGAACUUCCUUUUUCUUAUCUUUCGAGAGGGCUUUCAACUCCGAUGCCUGGCAAUAGUUCAACUCAACAAGCCUAGUCUACAAGGCCACAAUCGAGUAGAUAAAGGGAUAAAGUGGCACGCAAGUGUUAGGUAAGUUAGAAAAAAUAAGUCAAACUCUUAGGAGAAAGAGCGACAAGAAACUUACCCUCUGAGUAUAGAUAGCCAAGGCUCUCUCAAUGUCGUCAGCACUAUGUCCGGCAAUUGCCCUGGCCCUAGCAGGCGUCACCAAAGAUCGUAAUACCCCCAUCUAAUCAUAACCCUGAGUAGGGAGAAAUACAAAGUUAGGGAGAGAACUCUCGCACUCGCACCUAGCACAGCUCAAGCUGCCACCCCCAACCUCAAUGGCUGAACAACUUCAACGGGCUCGUCUGAAGGUUGGGGAGUCUCCUUUGUAACACGGUCCCUCGCCUCUCGGGGAGCGAUUUUCUUUCUCUUCAAUGGGACGGGACUAAGAUUGACGUCACUCUCAUGCCCCGGCUCGGCAUGGAAUCCAUAGCCUCUUCCAAGUCAAACUCUAUACCUAACACCCAACCCAAAAUCCAUCGAAUAUAAAGAACAGGGGCAUGUUCACAAACAAAGUAAAAGAACUACAUAUUCAAAAGCUUACCGUCAGUAGGAACGAAGCCCUCAUCGCUCCUAGGCUCAGGCAGGCUCUUCAAUACCUCGUCCAAGUCAAAAUCCAUGCCUGCAAACAUGCAAUAAAAUUUGUUAACUAAAAAAAAUGGCAAGUAAAAAAAUAUGCGAUAAUAAAAGAUAAAGCAAGGAAAGAGAACCUACCGGUAGGUCGACAAAUCUCCAUGAUCAACAUGUUCCUCAUAGUCAAGACUGACCCUAGGUCGACUGCAAGGGGAUGAUCUCAUGGUCACAGGUUGGAUUUGAGCUCUUAGGAGAGAAGUAACCUCUACUUGACUAUUGAAAAAGACGGAUUUGAGGAUGUCUCCAAUUAGUAUUGAAAGGAAAUUGACCCUCCGACGAUCGAACAAAGAAGAACCGAGAUUUUCCCCCACUGUUGGAAUUCCUAAAUUUAGGAAAGUGCAAAGGAACCCUAGCAGUAAGGUAGACAAAGGCAUUAUAUUGAACUAGCUCAUGCAUUUCAAAAAUGCACCUGAAAAGGUCUAUAGAAAGUGGAUUUUUCUUACUAAGAUAGACAUACAAAAAGUACAGCGCUUUUCUCCAUGCAUUGGGGUUUAUCUGACUAGGGGUGAGGUGGAACUAAUUAAAAAUUGAGACAAAGAAAGGAUGGAUGUGGAAUCGAAAACCCCCAUCCAUGAUGUCUUUAUACAUGGCAAUCUCACGGGGUCAGAUUCGGGAAGCCUAUCCUUAGGCCUAGGUGCUCUAUAAAUAUAAUCAUCGAUUCGAUCGAACCUGUUGAGGCACUUCUCUAACUUAGGAGGAACCCACGACGGGGCUGGUCUAAGGCCGACAAACCCAUCGACCGGUCAUGAGGCCAGUCGACUGUCGAUCGGCCUCGCGGCUGGUCGACCGUCAGCCAGCAAAGCUGGGCUGGUCAAUGAUCGACAACCUUGCUGGCCGAUGGGCCAAUACCGGUCGAGCGACGCGACCCAACACACAAUAGGUCGGAUGACACAUUUACCCCCUCGUUUUCGCUUUCACGAGAAGAGGAAUUUAUAAUGGUUUUGUACAUUGCAAGAAGAAAGAUUAAAAAAAAAAAAAAAAAAAAAAAAACUUGGAAUAAAAGAGAGGAUGAGAGAGUACCUUACUAUUGAAGACUAAGAAUUUUUGAAGGGAGAAGUGAGAAUGAGGGAGGCUCUCCCUCUUAUAUAACAAAAUUUUGAAAAUUUUGGAGGGAAGUUUCCCCCCAAAAGUACCAAGCCCACUUGAGAAAUGCCAUGUGUAUGGUUGUUAGUACCCAACCCCACCUAGACCGCUCGACCCACUCAUAUUGAGCCAACUAUGGUCGAGUAUUGAGUAGAUAUAUAUAAAAAAAAAUUAUCGAAGGCAUGGAAAGGAAGGAUAGAUGCUACCCCUUACCGAUAAAUAUCAACAAGGGGUAGAGGGGCUAAUUACGUACAACAACUGACAAGAUAUGAGUUUCACCGUCGGCCCACACCACCUGUGGGCAUACAACACCCAUGCUAAGACGUCGACCCCAUGGGCGCCCUACGCCCAUGCCGGACAUCGACCCCCAUGGGCGCUCUACACCCAUGCCGGGAUAUCGACCCCCUAAGCACUCUAUACCUAUAUCGGGAUGUCGACCACCAUGGGUACUCUACAACCUAGCUGGACCAUCGACUAUCAUGAGCUCAUUACCACUACGUGGUCAAUACAACACUUAGCCAAAAAUCAUAAAUUGGGUAGAGGUCACGCGAUGGUUGUUACGAACACAACUAGCAGUUGAACGGUCGGAGGUUACCCAGUAAAACGUAGGGGCAGUGGAAGAGGUUACGUGGGACACGUGGCACCAUAACUGCUCGGCGUUCACAUGACUCCAAUCACCUAUAAAUACUCCAAAAGGUGAAACAGGUAUGAAUCUUGGAAAAACUUUGGCUAUUUGAAUAUCUUCUUUCUCCUUUCCUAACUUUCCAUAAUUCAAUACUAAUUCUCACGCUGAAGGUACAACGGGGGAGAAAGCCUCGACCUCACUUUUGCAGAUAACAAUUGGUCAUCGGAACAGCGAAAGCACCCUACACGGCCAGGAGGGCACGAAGGUUAUUUCCUCAACUAUUUCACUUAUAGUUACAGUUACUUUCGCACUACAUGUGAUCACUUCUUCUGAUUCCUUGUGCAUUUCAAUUCAAACAUUAUAAUAACACAAUUGGUAAUAUCGUGUCUCCACAUUUAGAGGCAAUAUGUUCAUCAAAAAUAACAGAAGUGAUACGACAAAUCUGUGGAAGCCUUCAACGAAGAAAUUUCCUUCAUCGAAAAUAACAUACUAGUAUUAUGACAAAUGAGCGGAAGCUUUCGAUGAAGAAAUUUCCUUUCUAUUUUUUUGCAAACAUCUCUGUCCUUGCUAUCAAUUAUUAUUCCUAAUAUUGUAUUUUGCUGUUUGUAAAUAUUAAAUUUUGUGUAAUACAUUUUGCUGACUACCGAACUCUGAUCUAACAAAAACAAAUCGCUAAACCCACCACAAGCAGAUGUGAGUUCGGUCACUGCUCCCAGACCGGACUAGCCCACCGUUUGCUCAGGAAAACAUCAUGAUUAUCUCCUAUCACAUUACCCUAUCAAUCAUAUACACUCGCCACAAGUGACGUCAUCACCGCUCAAAAUGGCCAAUCCGAAGCCAUGAUUCUUAAGCCCCUUGCAGGUCAUCAUUACCUGGAAAAAAUAUUGACACAUGGCCACCUGCCUCGUCAACCAAUCAUGGGAGAAUUCAAUGACCCAAGUUUCGAGUUCGGUACUGUAGCUAAUUUGACUGAUUUAAUGUAAUUUCGGUUGGAGCCAUGUAUAAAGCGUAGGGCAAAAAUCUUGUAAAAGGCAAGUGAAUUCAUGUAAAAGCUCAUGGCACAAUUACACUUUCUUAACAUAUUUUGUGGUUUCUUUCAAUAAUAAAUUCUCCUUUUUCUUAAAGUUGGCUUAAAAUUAGCCUUGCUAAUUUUGACGUCAACAGUUUGGGGCUAGAAGGAGCGCCCUCAAUUGUGAAAAAAAUAGUCUCAUUCUCCCCACAAAAUCCGAUAGCCAUGAGUCAUAGCUCAAGUUCUAGAAACCUAUCUCACACCCACCUUCAUGAAAUGAAUACUCCACCAAGUUCUCCACGAUGACAAGAACCUCAGAUGAUCGCCAUGAGGAAAGCCCUGGAAAAACUGACAAAUGCAGUGAGACGAUUGGAACGUAAUCAAGCAUACUUAUCCCAACCAAAUACUGAGGCAGAAUUCCCUACGAGGACAAGAGCAAGACAUCUCCCACCAGGAGGACUCUCCACUUUUCAAGAGAAGAAGCCGAAUUGACGAAGUCAGGAAUAAAGAUCCAGGGGCGAGGAGGACUGGCAGUGUGUUCGACAGACUGGGGACCUAGCACUCGCUAACUCCUAUGCGAGGACAAAUCGACCCCGACCUUAAAUGUCCUCUGGAGCGGAUAGAACCUGAGUUGAGCAUGCUGAGAAGACACAUAGCUGACUUGGAGGCUAAAAACAAAGGUAGCUCUGAAGAUUAUCUCACCAAACGACAUUCCUCCUUUACUGAGGAUGUCCUUAUAGAAUCAGUACCUGAAAAAUUGAAAAUUCCCCAGAUGGCCGCAUAUGAAGGGGAUGGUGAUCCUCUCAGCCACUUUGAAAAAUACAUCUCGUAGAUGGAACUACAGGGGACAAGCAAUGCAAUUAUGUGUUGGGCAUUCCCCCCGACUCUGGGAGACAAAGCUCAGAGAUAGUUUAGGGGACUGCACCAGAGGUCGGUAAAAAAUUGGAAUAAUCCCCCAAGGUUAGAACCACACCCAAAGAACGGCUAGUAAGCAUCAAACAGGGAAGAAGUGAAUCCCUAAAAAGCUAUUUGAGAAUAUUCAACAAGCAAUCCAUGGAAGUGGAAAAAAUUAUCUGACGACGCGGCACUCAUAGCCUUACUAGCAGGACUUAGGCCCAGAACAAGAUUCUGGUGGUCAGUACACGAGGACGGCCCAAGAACUUAUCACAAGUUUUUGAACCAAGCUGAGAAAUAUAUAAGUGCUGAAGAGGCAACCUCUGACCAAGAGGAAGGUAGAUACGAACUCGACCUCUACAAUACGGUGAAAGAAAAAAAAACCAAGCGAUAGUCCUCAGCCCGAAAGAAAGAAGGAUAGGAGAGAAAGAGAACGUCCUAAGACUCAGCCAUACAAAUUUCAGGAAUACCAUCCACUCAAAACCUCCAUGGAAGAAGUAUUCACACAAACUAAUGAAAAAGAGGCAUUUCACAUCUUGUGAUCCUGAAGGACGGGCAGGCAAGACGCCACCAGGGACAAUACUAUCGAUAUCAUAGGAUGGUGGGCCAUGAUACUGAUAACUGUCGAGAAUUAAAAGAGGAAGUUGAGUCCUUAAUUCGUAGAGGUCGGUUACAAGAAUUUGUUGCCAAACCAAAAGAAGUAGAUCAACUUACGACGCAGUAGCCGCUGCUGCUGGGGCCUCUCGCAGGAGCUCAGCAGGGAAUCCCUAAUCUUAAUCCACCCCCACGUGUCGAAAUCAAAACUAUGGUGGGAAGAAAUCAGUAUGUUGAGGGGUCUAGAAGGGCGAGACGAAGACAAGCCCGAAGUGCAAGAAUCAUGCCGAACUACUGGAAUCAAACCCCACAGAUUGGGAUAGAUCCUGAAUGGUUCUGUUUCACGGAGGAAGAUUCUGAAUGAAUCCUCCAAGACCAAAGUGACGCCCUAGUGGUCACAAUGCCAGUUGCCGGAGUAAAAGUCUACCGGACAUUCGUAGACAACGAAAGUUCGAUCAAUAUACUGUACUCAUGAACUUUAAGGCAGUUGGAAAUAUCUGAACGCUACCUCCAACCGUACUCAAGGAGACUAUAGGGAUUCUCUGGAGAUCCUAUUGAAGCUCGAGGUCAGAUCAUCCUUAUUGUAGAGCUGGGCGAAGCUCCUUGCCAAAGAAGGAUUUUAGCAGAUUUUAUGGUGGUUGAUUUGCCAUCCAACUAUAACGCAAUAUUGGGACGACCCAUUUUGCAUGAGCUAAAAGCUGCUACAUCAAUUUAUCAUUAUUGUAUGAAAUUUCCCAAUCCUUACGGGACAGCAAUUAUUCAAGGAGAUCAAGCUGGAGCAAGGGCAUGCAAUGUCGACCUGCUAAAGCCACAAAUCAACAUGCUAAGGGACAGGGCGAACACGCAAGCCGAGAAAGCCAGACUGAAGAGACCAAUCGUUGCGGAUCUCUCUGAGAUCGGCAUAACAGAGAAGCACCUCAAGAAAGCCAUAGAUGAGCAAUUGUCCUUUGAUGAAAAAGAGGCGGACCCACAUCCUUACCCCGGAGUUCUAGUUAUCUCGUUGCCUAUAGCUAGGGUAACAAUUUCCAAAGUCUUAGUGGAUACGAGGAGUGCUCUAAACACCCUCUUCAGCAACAUCCUCAAAUGGAUGGGUAUUCCUGCUAACUUCCUCCAGUCGUACUCAAAUAUGGUCCUUAGAUUAAGUGGAGCCCUGACUUCUGCCAAAGGAUCGAUCAAGCUCCAAGUCGAGUCAGGAUCAGCACCCCGGCAAGUGAAGACGAACUCCGAGUUCGUAGUAUUUGACACUCCAUCACCUUAUGAUGUUGUAAUGAAACAGUCCCUACUAUUCAGCCUGAGAGCAGCAGUGUCCAUGUAUCACUUUUCAAUCAAAUUCUCCACACCCCAUGGUGUGGGUAAAGUCAAAGGAAACAGGGAGCUCACCAAAAGAUGUCAAUGGAAACCCUGCACCAGCCAUCAAUGCACCCCCGGCAAUACAUAUGGCUAAUAUAUGGGAAUCCGAGCUCAUUCCACUAGACUUGUAGACUAAGAUCGAAGGGGGAAAACCCAUCGAAAAGCUAGAGAGAGUUCAAGUUUGUGCCGACGAUCCAUCAAAAGAGCUAAAAGUCAGGCGUGAGCUGCAGCCCUCCACCCGAAGUGAAAUUGUGGCCUUCCUUAGACAAAACCUUAAUGUCUUUGCCUAGAAUCACAAGGACAUGAGAGAGAUAGAUCCCAAAAUCGCCUGCCACAAAUUACAGGUGGAUCCCUCAAUUCGGCCAAAGCAGCAAAAAUGGCGACCACUAAACCCUGAAAGAUAUGAAGCACUCAAUAAUUAGAUGCAAAAACUAUUGCACAACGGUUUCCUCCGUGAGGCAAAAUAUCCAAAGUGUGUCGCAAAUUUGGUCCUUGUGAGAAAACAUAAUGGAGAUUGGAGGAUAUACAUAGACUUUACUGAUCUCAACAAAGCAUGUCCUAAAGAUAGUUUUCCUUUACGAAGAAUAGAUCAAAUGGUGGACGCCACUGCGGGACACGAACUACUCAGCUUCAUGGAUGCGUACUUCGGAUAUAACCAGAUACAGAUGUACGGCCCAAAUCAAGAACAUACCUCGUUUGUAACUGACCGAGGUCUUUAUUGCUAUAGAGUAAUGUCAUUUGGUCUUAAAAACGCUGGUGCCACUUAUCAAUAACUUUGUGAAUUCCAUGUUUUCCCAGCAGAUCAUAAAAACAAUGGAAGUGUAUGUUGAUGACAUGCCGGUCAAAAGUAUCAAGGCUAAAGACCACCGUCGACACCUAGCCGAGAUGUUCGAUAUCUUGAGAAAGUAUGGAAUGAAGUUAAACCCGAGAAAAUGUGUAUUCGGGGUCAGCUCUAGAAGGUUCCUAGGUUACAUUAUAAACAAUCGAGGAAUUGAGGCAAAUCCUAAAAAAAUACAAGCUGCUAUCCAAAUGAAGCCUCCGACCAAACCCAGGAAGGUAAAAAGUUUAACCGAAAGGAUUUUCGCCCUUAGCCGGUUCAUUUCUAAGUCUACGAACUGAUGCAAACCCUUCUUUGACUCGUUAUAAGGAAGAAAGAAGUUUGAAUAGACCGAAGAAUACCAGGAAACCUUUAACGAGUUAAAGAGAUAACUAGCUCAGCCUCCGCUACUCUCAAAACCAAAGGCAGGCGAGGUCCUGGAGCUAUAUUUGUUUGUCUUAGAUCAUGCUAUUAGUGCCGUUUUGACCUAAGAAGAGAACGGCGUUCAACAUCCAGUCUAUUACGUAAGCAAAGUGCUUCACGAAAUCGAGCUUAGAUACUCACCCAUGGAAAACUGGCAUUCACCCUACUGAUGUCAGGGCGAAAACUGAGGUCAUAUUUCUUAGAACACCCCAUUGAGGUCCUCACCAACUAUCCAUUGAGACAAACAUUGCAAAGACCCGAUAUUUCAGGUCGGAUGAUAAAAUGGGCAGUCGAGCUCGGACAAUUUGACAUAAAAUACACGCCUCGUUCCUCCAUUAAGGGCCAAGCGCUUGCUGACGUUGUCUCUGAGUUCUGCAGCGUUCCAAUCGAGGAACUACUAGAAGAAAUCCCAUGGGAACUUUAUGUCAAUGGUUCAUCCACCGAGGACCGAUCUGGGACGGGUGUGGUAUUAAUCAGCCCUGAGCAACGCAUAUUCUGCGAAGCCUUUCCAUUUGACUUCAAAGCUUCAAACAAUGAGGUCGAGUACGAAGCUCUCAUUGCCAGAAUAAGGAUGGCCUCAGGGUUGGGAAUCUCCGACCUAAUCAUACAUAGCGACUCCCAACUAGUCGUAAAUCAGGUGAACGACGUAUAUCAGGCGAAAGAAGAAAGAAUGGACAAUUACCUACGAAUUGUAAGGAAAGAACUUGAAAAAUUAAAUACUACCCAAGUCAAGCAGAUUCCCCGAUCUCAGAAUGGCCACGCCAACGCACUGGCCCGCCUAGCCACCAGUGAGGGAAUCGAAGAAUUCGACAGCAUCCCCGUGGGAAGAAUAUCCCUACCUACCACCGAGCUAGCAGAAGUGGUCCUUAUGAUGAUAGAUCCUAAACCAACUUGGCAGGACGAGAUCAUCGCUUACCUAAAGACCGAAAAAUGUCCCGAAAACUCGACAGAGGCUAGAAAGCUCCGAAUCAGAUCGGCCAGUUACACAUUCAUUGAUAAUGUCCUCUACAAGCGAGGAUAUUCUAUGCCCUUAUUAAGAUGUUUGAACAAAAAAGAAGCCCAACACGCCCUGCGGGACGUUCAUGAAGAAAUGUGGAAAUCAUUCCGAUGGGCUUUCAUUAGCCCACAAGAUCAUACGACAUAUUUUUGGCCUGCAAUAAAAUGUGAUGCCCUCAAGUUUGUCAAAAGAUGAGACAAGUGCCAGCGCCUCACCCCCAUCAUAAAUAUUUCACCUCGCAAACUGAACCCGGUGACAGUACCCUGGCCCUUUGCAAAAUAGAGGGUCAACCUAAUUGGACAUAUACCCAUUGGAAAAAGAGGCGUAAAAUUCACCAUCAUUGCAGUGGAUUACUUUACUAAAUGUGCCAAGGCAGAGCCACUUUCCAAGAUCACUGAAUAAAAAAAAGUCAAUUUUUUGUGGAAAUCAAUCAUUUGUAGGUUCGGCAUACCUCAUUCCAUCGUUAUAGGCAGUCGAAAACAGUUCGACAACGCACAACUUUCAGAUUUCUAUGAAGAGUUCGACAUCAAGAAACAUGUCUCAACUCUAAACCAUCCGCAGGCAAAUGGCCAAGUCGAAGCCAUUAAUAAAUUAUUAAGCACACAUUGAAAGCAAAACUUGGCUUGUUUAAAGGAGGAUGGGCCGAUGAACUCUCCAGUGUGCUAUGGUCAUACUGUACCACUGCAAGGACUAGCAAGGGAGAAACCUUGUUCUCACUGGCCUUUGCGUAGAGGCUGUAAUCCCACUUGAAGUCAGCAUUCUCUGGCUGUGCAUAACUGAUUACGACGAAGAAAGGAACCGCAUAGUGUUUCAUACGGAACUCGACCUAGCCGAGGAGAAAAGGAACAACGCUGAACUCAAAAAUGUCAUUUACACGCCACGAAACGCCAAGUACUACAAUCAAAAAGUACGAAAAAGAGAAUUCGAAGUGGGAUCCCUCGUCUUACGGAAGGUAUUCCUCCCCAUAAGGGAGGCCAACAAUGGAUGCCUGGGUCCAAACUGGGAAGGUCCCUAUCUGAUAAUGAAGAUCCUUCCAAAAGGGGCAUAUGAACUAGAAGACUUGGGGGUAGACCUUUACCCCACCCUUAGAACACUGAGCACCUUAAGCAGUGCUAUCAGUGACGGAGAAAAGUCUAUGAAAUGUAAAGCCCACUGCUGGAGAAAAGUCUAUGAAAUGUAAAGCCCGCUUGUAAUGUUAAUCACAUCAAUAAAAGGGACUCCCUAUUUUGAACAUUUUAUUCAGCAUUUCACCAGAAUUCUCAAAAGCCCUACUCCUCACGUUGGCCGAUCUAAGGUCGUAUGUGCUACUACACUUAGUAGAAAUUCCUCCUUAGGAAUUCUCAAAAGCUUUGCCCAUGCGCAGGCCAAUCUAAGAUCGUAUGUGCUACGACACUUAGUGGAAAUUCCUCCUUUGGAAUUCUCAAAAGCCCUGCUCCUCAAGCAAGCGAUCUAAGGUUGUAAGUGCUACAAUACUUAGUGAAAAUUCCUCUUUAGGAACUCUCAAAAUCCCUACUCCUCAUGCAGGCCGAUCUAAGGUCGUAUGUACUAGACACUUAGUGAAAAUUCCUCUUUAGAAAUUCUCAAAAGCCCUGCUCCUCAGGCAGGUCGAUCUAAGGUCGUAUGUGCUACGACACUUAGUAAAAAUUCCUCCUAAAAAAUUCUCAAAAACCCUACCCAUGCACAGGCUGAGCUAAGGUCAUAUGUGCUAUGACACUUAGUAAAAAUUCCUCCUAACGAAUUCUCCAAAGCACAUCCACAUGCGCAAGCUGGAAUAAUCUCAGAAAUCACUAAGGUAAUUCAUAAUAUUGAUAAGCAAGUAUAUUAAAAUGAACUUGCUGCCAAAAUAAAAUAUGCCUUACUAAAUCAAAAAUAAAGUUGCAAAACAUUAUCCGCAAACGUAUUAAAUACAAACCAAGUCUUAUAAAAAUAAAGAUAAAAAGGGUCUAGGCUUCUGGUGGAUCCUGAGGAGCAGGGGUCGUCUCUAGUUCAUCUUCCUCAACUGGGAACACCCGAACUCCAGCCACUUCGGACAGCUUCCAAUGCUCCUCCUUCUGCUCCGCUAAAGUAUCCUCCAAGAAGGUCACGUCAAAAUCCAGCCUCUCCUUCCAGAUAUGUUUCACCAGCUCUUCCAACGCCACGACAUAGGCGUCCAGGGCUAAAGCAUCAAAUUCGGGGGACUCCCUCCAAGUCUCCACCGCUUUAGUGGCCUUAGCCUCAACCUCGUCUGCCCUCCUGGCGGCCUCCCUGGCCAUUUCAUUUGCCUCCUACAUCUUCUAGACUGCCUCCACAACCUUAGCUCGCUCCUCCUCAAAUUUUCUUUUCUCCUCUUCAGGCCGACCUCUAGCUUCCUCCUCCCAAGCCCUCAAAGUUCUAAUCUCUCUCAUAAACCUUUCCUCAUGAUCGAGCUUAGAGUUCAGCUCGAUUCCCAUCUGGUUAAGUUGUUCUUCGUACUCCUUCUCCUUCAGAGCAAACUGAGCUUUCUCAGCCUCCAUACUUUGGUAAAGGUUGAAGACUUGAUCCUUAGCCUCCAUCAACUUGUCCAGCUCGGACUUCAACUGUUUUCCAAAACAUCAAAAAGUCUCUAAGUCAAUAAAAUAGUCAAAUAAAAAAUCAUAAAGCAUAGUACAAACCAGGAAUACCUUAUCUGUGACGGCCAUCAUGUACAAGAUAGAUCGAUGACCGUAGAGCUGUGCAGUAACUAGGGCCUCGUCAAUGGGCAUCUCAUUUAGAUAACCCUGCUUUCUCUUACCCCAGCUCCUGGUGAGCAAGUUUGCUGAUUCCCGCAAAGGUGAGGUGAAUGCAGCUGUCACCUCUCUAGGGAGAGAUGGAGCACGGAGAUAGUCGAGAAGGAUCUCUGGUCAGUGGCCCACCAAACUGUCUAAGCUCGACAGAUGGAGGUCAGGGCACCUCUCCUGUGACCUAACUGAGCUGGUCCUAGCUACGAAGGCUGCAACUGGAGUAGGAGAGGGAAGAGUUGGUGAUGGUAGAAUAAUGGCCACCAUGGGAGAAGAGCUCGGCAAAGGAAUAGCCUCAGGUAUGCAUGGAGCAACCGACGUGGAAGUUCGGUUCUUCUUCAAUGGAACCUCCUCCUCUACCUCCUCAGAAAGCCUCUCUGGCCGAUCUGGAACAUUUCUCUUUUUUGCCUUUGCUACCGUCCCAGCCUUGGCCACUUUAUACCCCAGCAUCUCCGAGUUAUAAGCUGAAAUACAGAAUAAAGCAGUUAAAAAAUAAAAAAAUAAUACACACACACACACACACACACACACACACACACACGACACUCUGCUAUUACCUUAGCUAGAGUGAGUAGAAGUAGAUUCUCUGGGGACUGACGAACUGGACGCUCGCACUUACUCUAAAUCGGCCUGGAAUAAGUUCGAAUCUGAAAUCACAAAUUUGCAAGACCUCUGCUUGCCUCUUUAGCAAUGCCCUUAUCACCUCAGCUCGUUGCUAUAUGUCCUUGGUCACGGUCUCCUUCUUGUAAUCUGGAAAUAGGGCAAAGAUCAGUACUACAUAAAUGCUCACCUCGUCCAAAGGUCAGAUCAUAAAAAACUUACACAAAGACUGGUAGAGCCGGGGAACUACAUCCUCUCUGUUCACCUUGGAAGGGUAGAAUUGCCACUCCCCGAAUACGUAAAAGAACUCUUCCUUCCAUUUUUUGAUCGAGGAAAGAGUGUCCAGCACUAAUGACCCCCCGUCCUCGGUCUAAGCUAGUAUACAACCAGCCGAAGUUCGUUCCAUCCUCUUUGAAUGUAAACAGUGAAUUGAAUUGUCAAACGCUCCGCUCAGGAUUCCCCAUCCUAUCCCAGAGAAUGAGGGCGACAAUUAAGGUUCGCCACCCAUUGGGGCAUAACUGCGUGGGAGCUAUGCCCCAAGAAAAAAGAAGCUUACGAACUACCCUUGGGAAUGCUAGUCUAAGACCAGCCUGAAGUAUGACCAAAUUUAAAGCAACACAUCCCUCUGGGGGAUUGUCAGCUCAGUCAGAAGGUUCUGGUAUGAUCAUUACUACCGAAAUUGAAAUCGCGUAUUAAGCUCACCAGCUAGCUAACAUGUCUCCCGUCACAACCGACCUAUAAGAACUCGAUCCCUACUCCUCAAGGACACUUCCCUCAACAUCCCUAAUGUCCCCGACCUCCCUCCCUAAGCCCUCACCACCAGAUUCCAUGACAGUACAUCCUAGGUCCAUUGGGUUAACUACGGAGAUAGGGACAGGAGUAAAAAAAAUUUUACAAUUGGACAACGAGCUCGACGAAGAAAGAACAUAUUCUUCCUGCUGGUUUCCCCAGGAGUGUACUCUAGACUCGUCCGAACUCAUGUAAAGAUCAAAAUGAAAAUACAAACAUGAAGGACAAAGAGAAAAAGCGAAGGAAUACCUGGGAAAUCGAAGGAAAGAUGACCUCACUCAGAAGGAAGAUAGGGCACACUGGGAGAAUCUUGCUACCUUGGAGAGAAAAUUGCAUAAAGUAAAAAGGAAAAAUGAAGGCCAAAAGGGAUUUAAAAGGAAGAGAAGUCAAAGGGUUUGAAAUCAGACCGUCCAUUCAAAAAAAGGAGGAAAAGAUCAAACGGCAGAAAAGGCUGGGUAGUCAAAAUGGUCUCUUCACGAAACUUCUCAAAGAAGCUGUCUAAAAUGUCAUACAGCUCACCCCUAUAAAAAACGUAACACUUGGCACAAUAAUAAUUGAACCCCCCGAAAAAAGGGUCCGAUAAGAUGGAGGGUCAGCUCCCCCUCACAAUAGAACUGACCUGGGGGUUGACUGUUGACUACUGAAAUCCGAUCUAAUAAAAACAAAUCGCUAAACCCACCACAGACAGCUGUGAGUUCGGUCACUGUUCCCAAAUCGGACUAGCCCACCGUUAUCUCAGGAAAACAUCAUGAUUACCUCCUAUCACAUCACCCUAUCAAUCAUAUACACUCCCCACAAGUGACGUCAUCAUCGUCCAAAACCGUCAAUCCGAAACCAUUAUUCUCAAACCCCUUGCAGGACAUCAUUACCUAGGGAAAACAUUGACACAUGGCCACUGCCUCAUCGACCAAUCAUAGGAGAAUUCGACGACCCGAGUUUCGAGCUCGGUACUAUAGCUGAUUUGACUAAUUUGAUGUAAUUUCAGCUGGAGCCAUGUAUAAAUAGUAGGGUAGAAAUCUUGUAAAGGGUAGGUGAAUUCAUAUAAAAGCUCAUGGCACAAUUACACUCUCUCAACAUAUUUUGUAGUUUCUUUCAAUAAAAUUCCCUUUUUUCUUAAAGUUGAGUUAAAAUUAGCCUUACUAAUUUUGACGACAACACAUUUCAUAAUUCUUUGUACGGAAAAGAGACUUGAUGUAAUCUUUUGGAGGUAAGUACAUGCCCCCUCCAUCACAUUUCAUAAUUAUUUGUACGUAAAAGAGACUUAAUGUAAUCUUUUGGAGGUAAGUACAUGCCUCAUCCAUGUACUAUUUUUCAAAUAAUAUACUAGUUAGGAAUAAUGCCAAAACCCCAUUUAAGUUCAGGUAAGAAGCCUAAAAGACCCUUACUUGUUCCUAAUAAAUUGAUAAAACUAUAUACAAUAGUUUGCGUUCAGCAGAGCACACGUCCAUGGGCGGAGCCAUUCAAGGACCAAUGUGGGCAAAUGCCCGCACUGGACCUUUAGCCCAAGCCCAAAAUCAAUCUAAUUUAUUUUAUUUUAUUUUAAUUUAUGUUUUUCAUUUAUUUAUAGUCCAGCCCCAUACAUUAAUUUGCCCAAACUCUUAAGUACAUGGUGACAUUUUCUGACUCUUUUCCCACGACAAGAAACUAAAAAAUUUCUUUUAAUCUACCCUCAUUUUGAAUUUAUUUUUUUUCAUCUCUUUCCUAAAACCCACAUUUUCUUGGGCCUUCAAAUUUGCAACAAAAACUUUCUUGAUCAUGUGAGUUUUCUGUUUAAUAUUGGAGAUUUUUCUGUUUAAUAUUAGGUAUUUUGAUUAUGUGAAUGUUGACUAUUGAUAAUAUUUGUGAUCGAUUCUUGAAAUCUUGAUUUUUGUCAAUUAGCUAAACAAUUAGUGAUGAUUUUCUGGUGUCUACCAAUUUAUAAAAAUUAGUAGUUAUUUUUUUAUCAGUUAAUAUCUAAUUGUCACUUGUGAUUUAUUUUAGUGUCAAGCGUCAAUGAAGAGAUUCUUUAAAAGGAAAUAUUUCGAUGAAAAUAUUAAUGAGGAGAUAUUGAAUAAAAUUGAUUUUGAUGUUGCACAACUCGCUACAAAUCCCAAAAUAAGGAAGAAGAUGAUUAUUUUAUUAGUAUUGUCGCUAUGUCAUUUUUAGCAUUGUCAUAAUAUCAUUAAAUCCAUAAUCGAAAAAUUCAACCUUGAUUAAAUUUUGCCCGCAUUGGACAAAAUUCCUGACUCCGCCCCUGCACAGGUCAUCGUCCAAAUAGUGAUGACUACAAAUUGAGCAAUCAAACAACAAAUUUUGAGACAAAAGCACUUAAUUAUAUACCAAAAAAAUUAAAAUAAAUUUCAUAUUUAAAACACGAUUAAACAGACAGUUUUGUAGUGCAUAUAAAAAUAGAUAUAUACACUCAGUUAUAAUUAUAGAUACAUAAACGAUAUAUAUAUAUAUACACACACACGCACACAAGUACAAAUGGGGGAGCAAGAGAGAUUUGUCGCACAAAUUCGAAGUCUCGGGCGUAUUCUUCAUCGUCCAAGUGAUUAUUA
rnacentral:lncRNA from 1 species